rnacentral:rRNA from 1 species
UACGAAGGGGGCUAGCGUUGUUCGGAAUUACUGGGCGUAAAGCGCACGUAGGCGGACAUUUAAGUCAGGGGUGAAAUCCCGGAGCUCAACUCCGGAACUGCCUUUGAUACUGGGUGUCUUGAGUGUGGAAGAGGUGAGUGGAAUUCCGAGUGUAGAGGUGAAAUUCGUAGAUAUUGGGAAGAACACCGGUGGCGAAGGCGGCUCACUGGCCCGAUACUGACGCUGAGGCACGAAAGCGUGGGGAGCAAACAGG